ensembl:lncRNA
UGUCUGUGUUGGAGGUGUCUGUGUUGGAGGUGUCUGUGUUGGAGGUGUCUGUGUUGGAGGUGUCAGUGUUGGAGGUGUCUGUGUCGUGUAUGUCUGUGUUGGAGGUGUCUGUGUUGGAGGUGUCUGUGUUGGAGGUGUCUGUGUUGGAGGUGUCAGUGUUGGAGGUGUCUGUGUUGGAGGUGUCUGUGUUGGAGGUGUCAGUGUUGGAGGUGUCUGUGUGGUGUAUGUCUGUGUUGGAGGUGUCUGUGUUGGAGGUGUCAGUGUUAGAGGUGUCUGUGUUGGAGGUGUCUGUGUUGGAGGUGUCUGUGUUGGAGGUGUCAGUGUUGGAGGUGUCUGUGUGGUGUAUGUCUGUGUUGGAGGUGUCUGUGUGGUGUAUGUCUGUGUUGGAGGUGUCUGUGUGGUGUAUGUCUGUGUUGGAGGUGUCUGUGUGGGGUAUGUCUGUGUUGGAGGUGUAUGUGUGGUGUAUGUCUGUGUUGGAGGUGUCUGUGUUGGAGGUGUCUGUGUGGUGUAUGUCUGUGUUGGAGGUGUCUGUGUGGUGUGUGUCUGUGUUGGAGGUGUCUGUGUUAGAGGUGUCAGUGUUAGAGGUGUCUGUGUUGGAGAUGUCAGUGUUGGAGGUGUCUGUGUUAGAGGUGUCUGUGUUAGAGGUGUCUGUGUUAGAGGUGUCAGUGUUAGAGGUGUCUGUGUUGGAGGUGUCAGUGUUGGAGUUGUCUGUGUUAGAGGUGUCAGUGUUGGAGGUGUCUGUGUGGUGUAUGUCUGUGUUGGAGGUGUCUGUGUUGGAGGUGUCUGUAUUGGAGGUGUCUGUGUUGGAGGUGUAUGUGUGGUGUAUGUCUGUGUUGGAGGUGUCAGUGUGGGGUAUGUCUGUGUUGGAGGUGUCAGUGUGGUGUAUGUCUGUGUUAGUGGUGUCUGUGUUGGAGGUGUCUGUGUUGGAGGUGUCUGUGUGGUGUGUGUCUGUGUUUGAGGUGUCAGUGUUGGAGGUGUCAGUGUUGGAG